rnacentral:tRNA from 1 species
GCCGAGGUAGCUCAAUUGGUAGAGCAAUCGCUUCGUAAGCGAUAGGUUGUGGGUUCAAGUCCCAUCCUCGGCU